rnacentral:rRNA from 1 species
AACGAACGCUGGCGGCAGGCCUAACACAUGCAAGUCGAACGCAUCGCAAGAUGAGUGGCAGACCGGGUGAGUAACGCGUGGGAACCUUCCCAGUGGUGCGGAAUAGCUCAGGGAAACUUGAGGUAAUACCGCAUGAGCCCGCAAGGGGAAAGAUUUAUCGCCAUUGGAUGGGCCCGCGUCGGAUUAGCUAGUUGGUGAGGUAACGGCUCACCAAGGCGACGAUCCGUAGCUGGUUUGAGAGAAUGACCAGCCACACUGGGACUGAGACACGGCCCAGACUCCUACGGGAGGCAGCAGUGGGGAAUAUUGGACAAUGGGCGCAAGCCUGAUCCAGCCAUGCCGCGUGAGUGACGAAGGCCUUAGGGUUGUAAAGCUCUUUUGGCGGGGACGAUAAUGACGGUACCCGCAGAAUAAGCCCCGGCUAACUUCGUG